rnacentral:rRNA from 1 species
AGAGAGAGACAUGCGCGCAUAUCAAUAAGCGGAGGAAAAGAAACUAACAAGGAUUCCCCUAGUAACGGCGAGUGAAGCGGGAAGAGCUCAAAUUUGAAAUCUUAAAGGGUUUCCCUUUACGAAUUGUAGUUUAAAGAAGUGUUUUCUGUUGAGGUUUUGGUAAAAGUUCUUUGGAAUAGGACAUCAUAGAGGGUGAGAAUCCUGUAUUUGACCUUUACUUUCAACUUUGUGAUACACUUUCAAAGAGUCGGAUUGUUUGGGAAUGCAGUCCAAAAUGGGUGGUAAAUUUCAUCUAAAGCUAAAUAUUGGCGAGAGACCGAUAGCGAACAAGUACCGUGAGGGAAAGAUGAAAAGAACUUUGAAAAGAGAGUUAAACAGUACGUGAAAUUGUCAAAAGGGAAGCGUUUGACACCAGUGUUGUUUUUCUGAAAAUCAAUUAAAGAACUGUUUAUGCUAAGCUGUUUAGACUUUAUCAGCUAUCUGUUUAGUUUUGAGCUUUUCUUUAAUGCACUUUUCAGUUAACAAGUCAACAUCAAUUUCUUUUGCUGUAAAAAAGCUUGAGGAAGGUGGCUUGAGAUUCGUCUUAAGUGUUUAUAGCCUCUUGCCUAUGCAGUCGGAGAGAUUGAGGUCUGCAGCGUAGAUCCUUCGGGGCUAAAUGCAUUUGUGCUAAGUUAUAGCAUUUUAUAGACAACUUGUUGACUAUGAUUUGUCUUGUAGCUUACUCGCUUAUGUUAUUUUACCUACGCUUAGGAUGUUGACGCAUGAGAUAUACGC